rnacentral:rRNA from 1 species
GUGGGGAAUAUUGCACAAUGGGCGCAAGCCUGAUGCAGCCAUGCCGCGUGUGUGAAGAAGGCCUUCGGGUUGUAAAGCACUUUCAGUCGUGAGGAAGGUUUAUGCGUUAAUAGCGUAUAGAUUUGACGUUAGCGACAGAAGAAGCACCGGCUAACUCCGUGCCAGCAGCCGCGGUAAUACGGAGGGUGCGAGCGUUAAUCGGAAUUACUGGGCGUAAAGCGCAUGCAGGUGGUUUGUUAAGUCAGAUGUGAAAGCCCGGGGCUCAACCUCGGAAUAGCAUUUGAAACUGGCAGACUAGAGUCUUGUAGAGGGGGGUAGAAUUUCAGGUGUAGCGGUGAAAUGCGUAGAGAUCUGAAGGAAUACCAGUGGCGAAGGCGACCCCCUGGACAAAGACUGACGCUCAGAUGCGAAAGCGUGGGUAGCGAACAGGAUUAGAAACCCGAGUAGUCC